AUUGAACGCUGGCGGCAUGCCUUACACAUGCAAGUCGAACGGCAGCACGGGAGCUUGCUCCUGGUGGCGAGUGGCGAACGGGUGAGUAAUACAUCGGAACGUACCCUGAAGUGGGGGAUAACGUAGCGAAAGUUACGCUAAUACCGCAUAUUCUGUGAGCAGGAAAGAGGGGGAUCGCAAGACCUCUUGCUUUAGGAGCGGCCGAUGUCGGAUUAGCUAGUUGGUGAGGUAAAGGCUCACCAAGGCGACGAUCCGUAGCGGGUCUGAGAGGAUGAUCCGCCACACUGGGACUGAGACACGGCCCAGACUCCUACGGGAGGCAGCAGUGGGGAAUUUUGGACAAUGGGCGCAAGCCUGAUCCAGCCAUGCCGCGUGAGUGAAGAAGGCCUCGGUUGUAAA
rnacentral:rRNA from 1 species